GACGAACGCUUGCGGCGUGCUUAACACAUGCAAGUCGAACGGAAAGACCCUGCUUUUGUGGGGUGCUCGAGUGGCGAACGGGUGAGUAACACGUGAGUAACCUGCCCUUGACUUUGGGAUAACUUCAGGAAACUGGGGCUAAUACCGGAUAGGAGCUCCUGCUGCAUGGUGGGGGUUGGAAAGUUUCGGCGGUUGGGGAUGGACUCGCGGCUUAUCAGCUUGUUGGUGGGGUAGUGGCUUACCAAGGCUUUGACGGGUAGCCGGCCUGAGAGGGUGACCGGCCACAUUGGGACUGAGAUACGGCCCAGACUCCUACGGGAGGCAGCAGUGGGGAAUAUUGCACAAUGGGCGGAAGCCUGAUGCAGCAACGCCGCGUGCGGGAUGACGGCCUUCGGGUUGUAAACCGCUUUCGCCUGUGACGAAGCGUGAGUGACGGUAAUGGGUAAAGAAGCACCGGCUAACUACGUG
rnacentral:rRNA from 1 species